rnacentral:lncRNA from 1 species
UGCGCACUUGAGUUCCGGUCCGGUUUCCCACGGAGUUCCCCGCUUGGCGCUUGCUUGCGCGUCUUGGAGUACUGGUCGGGUUUCACCCCCAUCAGUUGGCGCCGUCUAUGAUUUAAAGAUACUCACGACAAAAGCUCCUCGACUUUUUCGAAAAAAGUGAUCGACUUUUUUCCAAGUCGCCAGCUAGGGAGUCUUGCGAGGAAAUCAG